AUGCUCAUUUGGCAGCAAGUAUAUUACAAUAGGAAUGAUACAGAGAAAACUAGCAUGGCCCCGGGGAGGGACAUCACACAAAUUUGUAAACCAUUCCAUAUUUCU
rnacentral:snRNA from 1 species